rnacentral:lncRNA from 1 species
UGACUUGGCAGCCGUUCUUCUCUUGCAACCGCAGCCGUAGGACUCACGUAGGACGGAGCCGACUGUGGGUUAGCCUCCUUACGCAUGUGCGCAACGGACCUGGUUUCUAUUGGCCAGAGAGGCAUCCUGACCAAUCAGAGCUAGCGCUCCCGGAAGGACUCUCGCUCCUUGUGUCUCCUAUUGCUGUUCUCUGAGUUAAGCUGUAAGGGUCCCCCUGCCUCGGAGAAGGCCUAGGUGGAGGCUCCUUGGCCUCUUGAGUCCAGACUGUUCUAGACAAUCCCGUUGGGAAUCCAGGUGAAAGGCGGUGGUGGGCGAGAAAAACUCAGUAUGGCCUCCAUCGGAUCUCCGUUAAGCUCCCUGGAUAUUGUGGAGACAGUAGGCCUACAGGUGAACAAGUGCUCAGAGGAGUAGCCCCACUCUGGUCUGGAAGAUUAACUUCAUAUCCUCCUGUCUCAGCCUCGCAAAGUGCUAGGGUUACAGGUCUGCACCACCAUACCUCCAGGUGACGGGACCGGAGUUCCCAAAGGGCAGGACUCAACUUUGCCCAUGCGCUCAUCCUCAUCAGCAGACACAGUCACAGCACUGGCUCGUUCUUCCCACCCUCCUCCCUCCCAUAGCCCGGUCCGCAAGGGCUCAUCUACCAACAGAACCGCUGCUCUGGGGCAGCUCACUUUCCCCAGAUCUCCUGGCUUCCCCCACCUACCUGUGGCCGCCUGUAUCCUACACUAGGCUGCAGGUAAGCUGUACCUCUACCCUAUGGCCUCUGGGAACCCAGAUUGAAGCCAAAGUGUCUGUGCUGACUCCAGUGGCAUGUCUCUGCACAUCCAUUUAAUAUCAUCUGCU